CCAGGGAGGAAGGGCUGUUCUGAGCCAAAUCUGCUGUAUUUUCCCUUGGAUUUGUCUCCUAGCCCAGGCCUAACUGUAAUCAUAUCUAAGCACUACAGUAAAUGUGCAAGGCCAUUGGUAAGCCUCAAAACUGCUGGUUUAGUAAAAACUGCAAGACAUUGGCCAUGAACAGUCACAAGAAUGGAGAACCAAUGGCGAGACCAUUCUUCCUCAGGCAGUCCUAUUUGCUGAAUGAGUUCCUGGGGUCAUGCAACAGAUACUGACUGAUGUUGCAGGAGACAGGAAUAAGGUGGCACCAGGCACAUGAUAGUGUGGUGGGCAAUCUGCAGCAGCCGCCACAGCUUCCAGCCAGCCACACAGUUGGGAGACAAUGAACCAACAGACUCUACAAGCUGGUGGCAGGAAUUGGAAGGUGGUGGAACCUUUGAAAGAUGGUGGCAGCAGAGCAAGAAGAACAAAACCCUUGAAGAUCUGGACAGGUCUCUGCUGCCUGACCCACCAGAAUGGGAACGGCUUCUACCACCCAGCCCUGUGGCCGUGAAAUCUGACCUCCUGCUCUUCCUCCCCUGUCACAAUGGAUGAAACCAAGAACCAGAGUUGGCAGAGACUCUGUUCUUUACAACUAUUCAUCCAUCAGGCUACCAAAGACCCCACUGUCCCACGUUGUCUGGCUCCCAUAGUCUUCACAAUUACUGCAGAAGAAGGGAGGAGAGGAGAGGAAAGAACUAGGCACCAGCUUUUUAUGUCUCCAGCCAGAAAUGAUAGAGAUCACUUCUGUACACACUUUGUUGGCUAAAACUAACUGCUUGAUCCUAAUCCCACCCAGUUCCAAGGAAACAGAAGAGACAGCUUUCUACUCCCAAAAAGGACAGAAGGAAUGUGUCUUCUCAAGUACAGGCAAUACUGCCCAAGCCUGGCUUAUUUGUGCAUAUAAACCUACAGUUAACACCCUGCCAUUUGUCAUGGGUGUCCUUCCAUGGCUAUUUCUAUUUCUUGUAAGUAGCCAUAUAGCUUAUAGUUGUCAUUGUUAAGUCAAAUCGUGUUGUGCUAGAAUAAUUCCUUACCAUUUAAUGGCUAAUUAUGAGAUCAAUUUGAUUUUAUGAUAAAAUUUUAAGCAAAAGCUUUGCAUGGUUUUUGAAUUAUUGCAUUAUUAUCUUGUUUUACUUCAAAGAGAAAGUUUCUGUGAAAAGUGGGCAUACUAAAAAUGUUCCAUAUCCCUUUGCAAAACUCCCUUCGCUCUCCAGACCUAAAGAACCCUGAGGACGGUGGGACGCAUGCUCAUUUUCCUGUGCUGUUCUUAGGAUGGAAUAUUAAACACCCCUGCUAAUAAAAUUAAUACAAAAUUGUGCUUGUUUUAAUUGCUCUGUUGUCUUUAAUCACAAUAAAGAGAAAUACAAUGU
rnacentral:lncRNA from 1 species